rnacentral:rRNA from 1 species
GAUGAACGCUGGCGGCGUGCCUAACACAUGCAAGUCGAACGAAUUACUUUAAAGGAAGUUUUCGGAUGGAAUUUAAAGUAGUUAGUGGCGGACGGGUGAGUAACGCGUGGGAAACCUGCCCUAUACAGGGGGAUAGCCUCGGGAAACUGGGAUUAAUACCCCAUAAAACUCUAGUAUCGCAUGAUACAUGAGCCAAAGAUUUAUCGGUAUAGGAUGGUCCCGCGUCUGAUUAGCUAGUUGGUGAGGUAACGGCUCACCAAGGCGACGAUCAGUAGCCGGCCUGAGAGGGUGAACGGCCACACUGGAACUGAGACACGGUCCAGACUCCUACGGGAGGCAGCAGUGGGAAUAUUGCACAAUGGGGAAACCCUGAUGCAGCGACGCCGCGUGAGCGAAGAAGGCCUUCGGUCGUAAAGCUCUGUCCUAAGAGAAGAAACGGACGGUACCGUUAGGAGGAAGCCCGGCUAACUACGUG